GCCGAAGUGGCGGAAUUGGUAGACGCGCACGAUUCAGGGUCGUGUGUCCGCGAGGACGUGUGGGUUCAAGUCCCACCUUCGGCACCA
rnacentral:tRNA from 1 species